CCUCUUCGUUUUAGCAAAUUUAAGUAUCAUUGAUCCAAGAUCCAAUAACCUUUCUUUAUCGGGCUCUACUUUCUCUUUUUUGUUGAUCGCGGCAAACUCAGAUCACUAUGGGCAGUCUCACACCUUAGGUGAUCCACAACAUAAAAAGCAUUGUAUCUCACUCUUCUUUUCCUUCGACUAGUUAUUGGGUUUCCCCUUCCGAUUAUGUGGUUUCCUAGUGCCACCAUUAGCAUUGCUAUACUCAACAUGUCCUUAUUCAUCUUCCCCACUAUUUCCCUGUUUGUCUUUC
rnacentral:lncRNA from 1 species